GGGAGAAAUCCGAAACAGCUUUCUACACGGAGCUGCUGCUCCUGCGUGCGGGCCCCACCCAGCUCAGAGCCAAACAGCUUAGGGAGCCAAGGGAUGCCUUGAACCUUGCAGGGGACAGGAAGGAAUCUCUCGGGCCAGGGUAUUUGUAGCAGCGUUGCAUUGCGUGAUGCUGUCUUCUACUCUUUCUUGGAAGUGAAAGUCCUUCCCUCUACAUUUCAAAACACCAACAGGCGAAAAGACCUAUAGAACAACAAGGUAUCAAAGGAGGCAACAAGCCUGGAAACUAGAAAUUGGAGAUCAAGGCACCAGCCUGGCUGAGUUCCGAUGCAGGACCUCCUCCGGAUUGCAGACGGCCACCUUUCCUCUGUCUUCACAUGAGGACAAGAGGACAAGAGAGGUCUCUAGGGUCCCUUUUAUAAGGGCGUGAAUCCCAUUUAAGAGGCCUUCACCCUCAUGACCUAAUCACCUCCCAAAGUCCCACCUCCUAAUCCCAUCACACUGGGAGUUAGGAUUUCAACAUGUAAAUCUGGAGGAGACACAAACAUUCAGUCCAUACACAGGCUAUGUUAGGAGACAUGGCAUUUAUCUGUGGGCCUUCAUAAUACUGGCGCUAAAUUUUAAACUAACACUUAAUGCCAGAAUUAGCAAGUGUAGCUAAGGCAGCCCAGAGAGACAGCAAUCGAGACAAUGUGCAUUCAUCAGGCAGCCUCCUCCAGAGACACAAGGAAGGGCGUGAGUGGUGUGGGUCAUUGCCACUUCCAAACCAGCUGAUCAAAAGAGAUCCCAGGGGUACAAGGGAGACAGACAGUCCCCAGGAGAAGCCAGCAAGAAGAUGAACAGACAAAUACAAAGCCAGGAGGGGGGUUCCACUGAGGGGAAUAUGGAGGGAUUUGGGGAUGAGCUGCUGCAGGUGUGAGGUCUCCAGCAGGACAGACAGAAAGGGAGGUAGAGGAGGACAAGCCACGGGGAAGGGAAAGAGAUGGUGGAGCCUGGAGGAGCUCUCAGGGCUCAGCACGGGGCUGUGGUGGCUGUCAGCCUUUGGUUGGGGCAGGAGGGGAGCUGGAAGGCAGCCUCCGUGCUGGGAAAGUGGGUCCUGAGUUUUCAGUCCUCAUGCCCAAUGGCCUUGGCCCCCAGCUAUCUUUUGGAAACUCAGAGCUGACCCAGUCCCCAGUCAAUGACCUUGGGCAUGUCUUCAGCAACUCCAAGGAAAAGGAUGAUGCCCUUGGCAUGACUUCCCGAGCCCCCUCUGUAACCCUACUUGUCUUCCCAACCUCGUCUCCCAUCGCUCUGCCUUGUCCCCCUCCUGACUUUGGCUUCACUGCAAGACUCUCCUCUGAGCCGCGGAUCCUCCAGGACUGAGGAGGAAUGGGAAGGCCAAGGUGGGCAGCUCCUGGAAGGUCAGGCCUGCCAGGGAAGCCCAUUCAGGGGGCGGUCCUGAGGCCAGGCCAGUCCAUAUUCUAAGCAGUAUUUAGAAGGGAGGACACAAGCUUUGAGCUCAAAGACAAAGUUGGAGGGGAACAGACAGAGCAUGGGAGGGCUGGGUUGGGAGGCCAUGAGCCC